rnacentral:lncRNA from 1 species
GUUCUGAGGCUCCUUGCCUAUUGGUCUCCUGCAUCCUGGGCUGUUGGUCUCUGAGAGGCAGAUGUCCGUCAGGGCCAUCACCCAGCACUUCAGCCUCGGCCUGGAGUAAAGGUCUUCUUCCGAGAACCAACCAGCUCCAGCUGUGUGUGGGGCCAGAUGUGGCUUCAGGGAGGGUGGGCUGGACGUAAGCCUUGAGGGCCUGCCCUGUAUUAAGCAAAUGUUUAAUCAGGUGUGGUCAAGGUUUGAUCUUAGUGCUUGGUUCAGAGGAGGGGCAGAGGCGGGCGGGGGAGGCUUCUCUGCAACGGGGUGUGCAGCACCUCCCCGGCCUGCUGCCCGCCAGCAGCCCUCCCCCCGCCCCGUCCCCUCCCUGCUCCGCGCCCCUCCCAGCUCUCCGUCCUCCUGUCGCACCUGCGGUUGGUGGCGGUAUAACGGCCCAGCCAGCCUGGCCCCGGCACGUGGCCUGGGGCGAUGCUAUCUCGCACUCAGUAUUUUUAACUCCUGUUUGCAGAGGAUGUGGCUUUUGCGGGAGAGCUUCAAAGGGUGCCCCAUUUGCCCUCUCGGCAACCAUGACGUCAUGGAAAUGGGGAGGGGAGGCCCUUAGCCCCCAAACACCUGCAGGGAAGUGGGAGACUUUUUCCACUUCCUGUCCUACUUCUGGCUACUGACUCAGUGUCUGACCUGUUUAUUAGUUUCAAAAUAUAGCUCUCCGGCGUGAUCCUCA